rnacentral:rRNA from 1 species
GACGAACGCUGGCGGCGUGCUUAACACAUGCAAGUCGAACGGAAAGGCCCUUCUUUUGUGGGGUGCUCGAGUGGCGAACGGGUGAGUAACACGUGAGUAACCUGCCCUUGACUUUGGGAUAACUUCAGGAAACUGGGGCUAAUACCGGAUAGGAGCUCCUGCUGCAUGGUGGGGGUUGGAAAGUUUCGGCGGUUGGGGAUGGACUCGCGGCUUAUCAGCUUGUUGGUGGGGUAGUGGCUUACCAAGGCUUUGACGGGUAGCCGGCCUGAGAGGGUGACCGGCCACAUUGGGACGGAGAUACGGCCCAGACUCCUACGGGAGGCAGCAGUGGGGAAUAUUGAACAAUGGGCGGAAGCCUGAUGCAGCAACGCCGCGUGCGGGAUGACGGCCUUCGGGUGGUAAACAGCUUUCGCCUGUGACGAAGCGUGAGUGACGGUAAUGGGUAAAGAAGCACCGGCUAACUACGU